rnacentral:rRNA from 1 species
UACGUAGGGUGCAAGCGUUGUCCGGAAUUAUUGGGCGUAAAGAGCUCGUAGGCGGUUUGUCGCGUCUGCUGUGAAAUCUGGGGGCUCAACCCCCAGCCUGCAGUGGGUACGGGCAGACUAGAGUGCGGUAGGGGAGGUUGGAAUUCCUGGUGUAGCGGUGGAAUGCGCAGAUAUCAGGAGGAACACCGAUGGCGAAGGCAGAUCUCUGGGCCGUAACUGACGCUGAGGAGCGAAAGCAUGGGGAGCGAACAGG